rnacentral:rRNA from 1 species
UACAGAGGGGGCGAGCGUUAUUCGGAAUUAUUGGGCGUAAAGGGCGCGUAGGCGGUUUUUCAAGUGAGGGGUGAAAUCCCUCGGCUUAACCGAGGAACUGCCUGUCAGACUGGAAGGCUUGAGACCGGGAGAGGUGAGUGGAAUUCCCAGUGUAGCGGUGAAAUGCGUAGAUAUUGGGAGGAACACCAGUGGCGAAGGCGGCUCACUGGACCGGAACUGACGCUGAGGCGCGAAAGCGUGGGGAGCAAACAGG